UUCGCUGCUCUGGUGCUCUGGGAAUACUAACCAUUUUUGGCGAAGAAAAACUAGCUUUAACUAACAUAUUCAUUGUGCUUUUUUUAGCACCCUCACUUUAACCUGCGUCUCUGCUCAAACGGACGACGAAUAUAUGUGUUUUUUUUUUUUUUAUCCAUACGUGGAGCUACGAAGGAAACAAUAAAAGAAACACACACAGAUGACAGCUGCUGUCUGAACCAGCCAAGCAACCGACCUGCUACUCUUACCUGCUCGCUCGGAUCGUUGCAGUCAGACUGUUUUGGAAGCGAAGGAAGUUUGCUGAAGGUUCUGAGAAGGAGAAGCUCAAAGGGGGGGUUUUCACCCCUGCUG